ACGGUGGGCAGGUGUGAUGCUCAGCCAGGAGGGAGCCUGUUGUGCAGGCAAAACACAGCCUUUGAGACGCUGACAUCGUGACAAGAGUGAGGAUUCAUGUCUGGAUCAUCAAAAAUGAUCACUCAUUGAAAAGCAAGUCUGGAAUCGACCGAGGGCUCUUAAUAGCUUCUCAUAGGUGUACCCACAGUAAGGGGGACUCGGGGCAGCUGUGUGGGUAUGUGGGGUGAAGCGGGCAGUGGGAG
rnacentral:lncRNA from 1 species